rnacentral:rRNA from 1 species
AUGUACAAUCCCCUUAAUCCAAUAUAUAUCAAGUCUUUGGGAUGCAUGUACUACCUGAGCAAUGAGCUCCUGCGUCGGGUGAGCGUCCGCCCGCGGCGCUGCCAGAUCCGCUCCAGCCGUCCUCCCCCUGCGGCCGCCGAGGACAGAUCCGGUGCCCCUGCUCUGCUGCGUGCCUCAUGUGAGGAGAUGGGCGUCUCCCGUUCGCGCUCACGGGUGGGCGCGCGGCGCCGCCGCCCGCUUCUUCCUCGGCAGUCCUUCGGUGUUGCGGCCUCGUCCGGUUACUGCUGCUCUGCCUCGACCUCCGUUCGCUCUGCGUGUGACGGCCAGGCUCCGACGCCUCCUCCCCCGUGUGUCUCCUCUCCCACGGCCGAUUCGCGGCGAACUUCGGGCGGGCCUCGCUCUCCUGCUGCUUCGACGAUGGGAGCCGUCCCGGCCUCUCCUGCUGCCGGCGUCGCCCCGGCCCGUCUGCCGCCGCCAUCUGCGCGCGGCCUAGCCGCGGCCUCCCUCGCCUCCCGCAAGGCUGACCCGACCGUGCAGGGGCGACAGGUCUCGUGCGAGGUUCCGUCCAUGCCCGAGUCGCCGGCAAGGUCCAAGCUGGUCCUCGCGACGCCAACACCUACCGCAUCACCCGUCGUUACUGCUGGAGACGGCGGUCAUGUCACUGGGCCCUCUUCCGACCUGAGGGCUGGAAAGCUACUGGCUGCCUCGGGUGCUCCUGAUGCUUUGGCUGCGGGUAUGGUGCAGUCUUUGUGGAGCUCCCUCGACGACGAUGACGAAGAUGAUGAGGAUGGUGUUGAGCUGGCCCCGCAAACGCCGCUGCCUACCAAGUGCUCCAGCGGGGUGAGCGCUGAGCAUGAGGCAGCUACCUGCGUGGGUUGGCAGGAGGUGCGGCCGCGGCAUGGUUCACAUCGUCUGGCGUCUCGAGCUCCGGCUUCGUCCCCUUGGCCCAUCCCUGCGUGGCUCCAUGGCCGAUGCUGCAGGUGCCUUGUUACUGGACACCGUGCAGCGAAGUGCACGGAUCCCUUUCGGUGCUCUCACUGCCUGGGGAACGGCCAUCGGGUCCAUGAGUGUCGGAACGCUUGGCGUCCCCUCAGCUUGCUCGAUAACCCUACUGCUUCGUCAUUGUCUCGCCUCGACACCAUUAAUCAUCUUCAUCCACCUUCAUGUCAAGCCCACUCUAAUGCCACGCUUUCCUCCAAGGCGAUCCAAUGUGACUCCUGGGCGUCGGUUGUUUCUUCUUCUGCUGGUUCUACAGCCUCAGCUGAGGUGGCACUUAAGUCUGUCUUUACUGCGCAAGCCGAGCUGCUACGCUCUGAGCUGCAAGGCAUGGCUUCCUUGCAGAUGGUGAAGGCGAUUCAGCCUCUGAGUGAUGUGGUUGAUUCAAUGCACGGAUGGCUGCUGCGGGCUGGGAGCCUUCUGGAGCGUGCAGAGGUUGCUCUGGGCAGGCUAUCUCCUGCGACGGCCGAGGCGCCACUCCCUCCUAUGUCGCCUCCUCUGCCAAAGCUUGUCGUUGACUUCGAGGGCGACAAUGAUGUGGAUCUCUAUGGCUGCUUUUCCCCUCGUGCUUCUGGCUUCUCGCCCCGUGUUGGGUCCAGUUCGACGCCCCAAGUGUUGCUGGACUUCGAGGGUGUGGCCUCCGUCGAGGUAGUGUCUCCGGUGUUGCAGAUCAUGCCCGAGCUGCAGAUGUUGAGUGGGGAACUUGUUUCACCUUUGUCGAUGGAGCAACUCAAGUUGGACUCUCCCCAGGCUUCGGAGGUGGAUUUGGUGUCCUCACCACCCCCCAUGGAGCCUUGUCAGGUGUCAAACAUCCUACCUCUCGACGUCAUGGAGAGCGGAGUUUUAGAUGCUGUCGUCGUUCCCUCAUCUAUGUCCAUCGGGCAGGUGAUGCCUGUGAGUGGCAUGACCACGGAGCCACUUGUGUUGGCACCUACCCCAAAUUCAAAUGCUCUCUUCGCGAAGGAACAUUGUGACUUGCUAGCCAGCGUUGAAGUUGCUAGACCUGGUUUAGGUAGGUCGAUUGCUUGCCACCUAACAGGAACGCCAAUAAGGGACAAACAAAAGAAGGUGGGCAAUCGCAAGAGUGGCGCCAAAGGCAAGACGUCUUUGGCUGCUUGA